rnacentral:rRNA from 1 species
UACGUAGGGUGCAAGCGUUAUCCGGAAUUAUUGGGCGUAAAGAGCUCGUAGGCGGUUUGUCGCGUCUGCUGUGAAAACCCGAGGCUCAACCUCGGGCCUGCAGUGGGUACGGGCAGACUAGAGUGCGGUAGGGGAGAAUGGAAUUCCUGGUGUAGCGGUGAAAUGCGCAGAUAUCAGGAGGAACACCGGUGGCGAAGGCGGAUCUCUGGGCCAUUACUGACGCUGAGGAGCGAAAGCGUGGGGAGCGAACAGG